ACUGAGGGCUCAACCUUCAGACUGCAUUUGAAACUGCUGUUCUUGAGUGAAGUAGAGGUAAGCGGAAUUCCUAAUGUAGCGGUGAAAUGCGUAGAUAUUAGGAGGAACAUCGGUGGCGAAGGCGGCUUACUGGGCUUUUACUGACGCUGAGGCUCGAAAGCGUGGGGAGCAAACAGGAUUAGAUACCCUGGUAGUCCACGCUGUAAACGAUGAUUACUAGGUGUGGGGGGACUGACCCCUUCCGUGCCGCAGUUAACACAAUAAGUAAUCCACCUGGGGAGUACGACCGCAAGGUUGAAACUCAAAGGAAUUGACGGGGGCCCGCACAAGCAGUGGAGUAUGUGGUUUAAUUCGAAGCAACGCGAAGAACCUUACCAGGUCUUGACAUCGUAUGCAUAGCCUAGAGAUAGGUGAAAUCCCUUCGGGGACAUAUAGACAGGUGGUGCAUGGUUGUCGUCAGCUCGUGUCGUGAGAUGUUGGGUUAAGUCCCGCAACGAGCGCAACCCUUACCUUUAGUUGCUACGCAAGAGCACUCUAGAGGGACUGCCGUUGACAAAACGGAGGAAGGUGGGGAUGACGUCAAAUCAUCAUGCCCCUUAUGACCUGGGCUACACACGUACUACAAUGGCAAUUAACAGAGGGAAGCAAAACAGCGAUGUGGAGCAAAUCCCGAAAAAUUGUCCCAGUUCAGAUUGCAGGCUGAAACUCGCCUGCAUGAAGUCGGAAUUGCUAGUAAUCGCAGAUCAGAAUGCUGCGGUGAAUACGUUCCCGGGCCUUGUACACACCGCCCGUCACACCAUGGGAGUCGGUAACACCCGAAGCCGAUAGUCUAACCGCAAGGAGGACGUCGUCGAAGGUGGGAUUGAUGACUGGGGUGAAGUCGUAACAAGGUAACCGUAA
rnacentral:rRNA from 1 species